rnacentral:rRNA from 1 species
AUUGAACGCUGGCGGAAUGCUUUACACAUGCAAGUCGAACGGCAGCACGGACUUCGGUCUGGUGGCGAGUGGCGAACGGGUGAGUAAUGUAUCGGAACGUGCCCAGUCGUGGGGGAUAACGUAGUGAAAAUUACGCUAAUACCGCAUACGAUCUAGGGAUGAAAGCGGGGGAUCGCAAGACCUCGCGCGAUUGGAGCGGCCGAUAUCAGAUUAGGUAGUUGGUGGGGUAAAGGCCCACCAAGCCAACGAUCUGUAGCUGGUCUGAGAGGACGACCAGCCACACUGGAACUGAGACACGGUCCAGACUCCUACGGGAGGCAGCAGUGGGGAAUUUUGGACAAUGGGCGAAAGCCUGAUCCAGCCAUUCCGCGUGCAGGAUGAAGGCCCUCGGGUUGUAAACUGCUUUUGUACAGAACGAAAAGGUUUCUACUAAUACUAGGAGCUCAUGACGGUACUGUAAGAAUAAGCACCGGCUAACUACGUGCCAUCCGCCGCGGUAA